AAGGUUAUAUUAUUGGUAAUGUAAAAGGAAAAGUAUAAAGGUAUAGUAGCAUACAUACAAGGGAAAACUUCAAAUACCCCUUCUGUGAUUUCGUGCUUUCUCAUUUUAGUACCAUGUGGUUUAAAGUGUAUCAAAUUAGUACCUGUGGUUUCGCACUUUCUCACUUUAGUAUCCUGUGGUUUAAAGUGUAUCGAGUUAGUAUCCUGUGGUUUCGCACUUUCUCACUUUAGUACCAUGUGGUUUAAAGUGUAUCAAGUUAGUGUCCUGUAGUUUCAUUUUUAUCUUUUCGUUAGUUUUUUUGUUAAUAUUUCGUUAAAUUAUAUACAAAAUACUUCAGAUACUCCGGCUAGGUUUAUCGAAUAUUCACUUUAGUGUUCUUCAAUUUUAACUUUGUCACUAAUUUACCCAAAAAAAUUAGUGGAAUUGAUAAUAAAAAGAUAAAAAUGAAACCAAAAAACACUAAAUUGAUAUACUUUAAACCAUAGGGCACUAAAGUGAGAAAAUUUGAAUUCACAGGAGUGGUGUUUGAAGUUUUUUCUUUUCUU
rnacentral:lncRNA from 1 species